rnacentral:rRNA from 1 species
UACGUAGGGUGCGAGCGUUGUCCGGAAUUACUGGGCGUAAAGAGCUCGUAGGUGGUUUGUCGCGUUGUUCGUGAAAACUCACAACUCAAUUGUGGGCGUGCGGGCGAUACGGGCAGACUGGAGUACUGCAGGGGAGACUGGAAUUCCUGGUGUAGCGGUGGAAUGCGCAGAUAUCAGGAGGAACACCGGUGGCGAAGGCGGGUCACUGGUCCGCAACUGACGCUGAGGCGCGAAAGCGUGGGGAGCAAACAGG